UGAUGAGACAACCAGAGUGAAGAGAACAUGGUCAUGGAGAUGCUCAAGAUUACUGAGGAAAAUGGCAAUCUACUGAAAGAGAAACCAGGAGAGCAGCUUUGAGCAAGGAAGACAAGCAGGAAGAUGGGGAGAGAGGCCAGCAGAGAGCAGUUCUGCAGGUUGGGAUGGACUUCGUGAUGAACACCAGUUGCUCUCUGCCUAAGAUAGGACCUUAAAUAAGAGUGGAGCAGCAUUUCAAUUAAAUAGUAAGUUACAACACACCAGUCUCUUCACCCAGUGUAUUAUUA
rnacentral:lncRNA from 1 species